AUACGGAGGACGCGAGCGUUAUCCGGAUUCAUUGGGUUUAAAGGGUGCGCAGGCGGCCGUGCAAGUCAGCGGUGAAAGCCCGGGGCUCAACCCCGGAAGUGCCGUUGAUACUGCAUGGCUGGAAUGCGGUCGAGGCGGGCGGAACGGGGCGGGGAGCGGUGGAAAGCGUAGAUAUGCCCGAGAACGCCGAUAGCGGAGGCAGCUCGCCAGGCCUGCAGUGACGCUCGGGCACGAAAGCGUGGGGAUCGAACAGGAUUAGAUACCCUGGUAGUCCACGCCGUAAACGAUGGGCGCUCGUCGUCGGCGGCAGACAGUCGGCGGCCAAGCGAAAGCGAUAAGCGCCCCACCUGGGGAGUACGGUCGCAAGGCUGAAACUCAAAUGAAUUGACGGGG
rnacentral:rRNA from 1 species